rnacentral:piRNA from 1 species
AACUAGGAAAGGCUCAAGAUCAC